UGGCGUAAUGAUGGCCAGGCUGUCUCCACCCGAGACUCAGUGAAAUUGAACUCGCUGUGAAGAUGCAGUGUACCCGCGGCAAGACGGAAAGACCCCGUGAACCUUUACUAUAGCUUGACACUGAACAUUGAGCCUUGAUGUGUAGGAUAGGUGGGAGGCUUUGAAGCGUGGACGCCAGUCUGCGUGGAGCCAACCUUGAAAUACCACCCUUUAAUGUUUGAUGUUCUAACUCCGGUCCCUAAUCGGGAUUGAGGACAGUGUCUGGUGGGUAGUUUGACUGGGGCGGUCUCCUCCUAAAGAGUAACGGAGGAGCACGAAGGUUAGCUAAUCACGGUCGGACAUCGUGAGGUUAGUGCAAUGGCAUAAGCUAGCUUGACUGCGAGAGUGACGGCUCGAGCAGGUACGAAAGUAGGUCAUAGUGAUCCGGUGGUUCUGAAUGGAAGGGCCAUCGCUCAACGGAUAAAAGGUACUCCGGGGAUAACAGGCUGAUACCGCCCAAGAGUUCAUAUCGACGGCGGUGUUUGGCACCUCGAUGUC
rnacentral:rRNA from 1 species